GCGCCUGUAGCUCAAAAGGAUAGAGCACAGGCCUCCUAAGCCUGGAGUGGCCGUUCGAUUCGGCCCAGGCGCA
rnacentral:tRNA from 1 species